CGCCUUUGCAAUGAAGUGUCCCACUACUGCAACCCAUAAGAAGAGCAGCUGCGCAGUUAUCUAACUUCUCAAUUUCCUUUCCAGAGACAUAUUGACUUCCUGCAACAUUGUUCCAGACUAGCCGUGUUAGUACAACAGUGCAGAAUGUACCUCGGGAAAAUAACCACCUUGUAAAAGUAGUUCUGAAGCACCAGCACAUACAUUCCUAUUUGAAGAAAGAAAGCUUCGGAAAAAAUAUGCUACAAAUUUCAGGAACUCGUUUACAGCUUUCGGAUGGAGAUGAGCAGUAUGGAAUUAAUACACCCAGUGCAAACAAUAUAUGAGACCCGAAGUGCACCAGAAAUCUGCUUUGCGACUUAGGCCAUCAGAAAUCACAAUGAGGUUCCACACCGGAGCCCAAAAGAAGUCAAAAUUUCUGGGUUGCUUCUCCCCACCGCCAGCCUGGUCCGCAGUGCAAUUUGGCUGGGCGGAGAAGCAAAAAAUUGCCAGCUUCCCGAGCUUCUUGGGUUAGAAACGAAGAGCCGCCGUUGUCGAUCCCAUGCUCCCUGACGGGUGCUCGGUGUUAGGCAGCGGGGAAGGGGAAGAAGGAUCCAGGAGUGGAUCAAACCGCCACCAACCACCCGGUCGCAGCUAACCUCGCCGGCGGGGAAGUGGAAGAAGAAGGAUCCGGGAGUGGAUCGAGUUGCCACCAACCACCAGGUCGCAGCUGGCAAGCUACAACUGGCAAAGCAGAUACAAAGGUUGUAUCUAAUAAUGAUACAAAUAAGGUUCAACCUAUAAAAUUUGGCUAGCCAUAAUAAGUAUGAUUAUAAGAACAUACUUUGAUUGUAUGCAGCAUCAACAAGAUAAGAUUAUUUACAAAAUAAGAUAAUACCAGGGACACAAAAAGGUCAUUCCUAGAUGUUCCGGACAAUCUAAUAGUUGGAAAAAACAAAGUGAGAACCAUACUACAAUAUAAACUGGUUACCUUUUUUCUUAGCAAAAAACAGACAUGACAUUAGAAACCAAACUAGACGUAUCUAUUUCUAUGUAGUGAUCAUGGGAGAGGUCCAGCUCAGAAGCAACUCCACAUCCAGUUGAUGAGCAACCUGGUCCUGCAUGUACACGGAACAAAAAAUUGUUUAUUUCCUUCAGAUAUGCACCGCAAGUAGCAACCGAAACACUAUUGAACUGCAAGGAACACAAGAUAAUAUCUACAAAACCUUUUCAGAAAUAAGUGACCAAGUAAAAAAAGGAAAAACAAGUGAAUGAGGUAAGUAAGAAAUCCCAACUGAGGAAGAGAAGGAGAGGCUUGCUUGAGGGAUGUGCCUGGGCCUCCAAGAACCAGUAGAAGAGUGUCCUCCCAUUCUGCUUGUUCACGGUGACAUACCCAGAGAACCGAGAGACAUGCAAACUCCUUGGCUGACCAGAGAGAAAUACCACCCUAUCAGCUUCCUACUCGCUGUAACCGGCCAAGUAGCAGCGCCAACCCUGGCAGGCAAAGACGACGCGUGACUGGACACACACGUCACUAAGCCAACAAGCACAUACACAACAAGAACCCGUGGCAAGCAAGUGCGGGGACAGGAGGAGAGUUGGGACCGGAAAGAAAUUACCAUGCUGGCGACUGGAUUUCCAGGCGAAAGCUACUCGAGGCGGCGACGGCAAAUCCAGGUAGCAGCUGCACGAGCACAUGAGAAUCACAAGAUGAAUUUCAUACGUUGGCAGUGGAAGCAAAUAUCAUAUUUGUACGUACCUGCAUUUCUUUAUCAACACUACACAUCUCCAGAUUUUUUCCAAAAUGAGAGUUCAGUAAGCUACCACCUUCAGACUCCUAAUUUAUCAGAGAGCAGCAUUUGUUAGUUAACCUGGAAAAACAAAUAAACAUUAGGCACAU